GGCCCAGCAGGGAGCGGUCGGGGUCCGGGGUGGGGGGUGCUGAGAGGUCAGCUCUCUUCCAGGCUCCAGCUCUUGGCGGGUAGGGUCUUCUUCCCCGGAGGCCGGGAGCGGGGGUCAGAGGCAGCCAGAAGUUUGAGGGGUGUGGGGUGUGGGCUGGAGGGAACGUGCUUCAGAACUUCGCUCGCCAGCUCGGGGCUCCCUGGCUCCGCCGCUCCUGCCCCCCGCCCUGCUCGCCCCCGGACAGAUCAACGAGAAAAGGCCAAAUUACAGCCCCGGGCCUCCCUCCCCAGUUUCCCUGCGCGGGGGGCGGGGGGCCUGCCCUCUUCCCUGGGGGCACCUUCCCCCGCCACCGCCUCUGUGGUGCAGGAGCAAGCGGGGGGCCCGGGCCCAACUUUGCAGAGUCAGGCGGAGGAGCCGCGCGGCCCGAGAGAUGCGCUCGCCCCGGAGCCCGGAGCCCGCAGCCCCCUGGGCGCCCCUCGCAUCUCUGCCCCCGCCCGCACGCGCCCCCAGAGAGGCCCCGGCAGCUCGCCGCGACCGUCCCCAACUCCCCCAGGGGCGGCAGCUGCACCCAAGGCAUCUGCCCUCCUCCCGCUAGCCGCCACCUCACCCCUCAGCCCCCACCGAUCGUCGGCUGCCCCCCCCAGGGUGUCCCCGGAGAGUGAGAGUGAUGGACUAGCCCGCGACGUCGGGGCUGCGAUCCCUCCCCCUAGAGAUCGGAGGUGGGAGCCGCGGAGUCCCCCGGUUCAGGGGCCGCGGCGGGGCUGCCCGGGGUCCCGGAGCGAGGGCCGGGCUUGGGGUCCGGGCCCCGCCCGGCUGCCGGCGCCCCUCUCCUCCCGACGCCGGCGAGCGGGGCGCUGCGGGCCUUCCUCGGAGCGCGGGGCCUGCGCGGAGGCGGGGGGCGCGGGGGGCGCGGGGGGCGCGGGCGCCAGCACAGGCCCGCCUCGGCCGGCCGCUGGAACAACUUUGCAGGAAUAUUUUGUUAGGGGAACAAACAGACAGAAAGUUAUUAGUGUCAAAUCACGGACUCCAGAGUCGUGUGCUGUGGAACGUAAAGAUUCUUCGGACGGACUGAGAUUUCCAAAACUGGGAGAGGGAAAGAACUCUGCACCCUUUGCACGAGGAUUUGCCUGA
rnacentral:lncRNA from 1 species